rnacentral:rRNA from 1 species
GUUUGACUAAGCCAUAGAGUCGAGAGGGUUCCGGCCCUCAGCGUAUGCUCAGUAUCACGUGGAUAACCUGCCCUAGGGAAGGGGGAUAACCCCGGGGAAACUGGGGAUGAUACCCAAUAGGUUAACAGAUGCGGGAAUGCUUGUAACCCAAAGAUCCGACGCCUUAGGAUGGAUCUGCGGCCGAUUAGGUUGUUGUCGGGGUAACGGCCCAACAAGCCAGUAAUCGGUACGGGUUGUGGGGAGCAAGAGCCCGGAGUUGGAUUCUGAGACACGAAUCCAGGCCCUACGGGGCGCAGCAGGCGCGAAAACUUUACAAUGCGGGCAACCGUGAUAAGGGAACCUCGAGUGCCUGUAUAUGCAGGCUGUCCAGGUGUCUAAAACACACCUGAAGAAAGGCCGGGCAAGACCGGUGCCAGCCGCCGCGGUAAUACCGGCGGCUCGAGUGGUGGCCACUUUUAUUGGGCUUAAAGCGUUCGUAGCUGGGUUGUUAAGUCUCUUGGGAAAUCUGACGGCUUAACCGUCAGGCGUCUAAGAGAUACUGGCAAUCUUGGAACCGGGAGAGGUGAGGGGUACUUCGGGGGUAGGAGUGAAAUCCUGUAAUCCUCGAGGGACCACCUGUGGCGAAGGCGCCUCACCAGAACGGCUUCGACAGUGAGGGACGAAAGCUGGGGGAGCAAACCGGAUUAGAUACCCGGGUAGUCCCAGCCGUAAACGAUGUGCGUUAGGUGUAUCGGUGACCACGAGUCACCGAGGUGCCGAAGGGAAACCGUGAAACGUACCGCCUGGGAAGUACGGUCGCAAGUUCACACAGGAAACAAUUAUCGCCGGAACUCCGCCACACUUUUAUAGUACGUAAAAAUCAAGCCGCAGCCUCU